ensembl:misc_RNA 7SK 7SK RNA
GGAUUGAGGGCAAUCUGGCUGCGACAUCUGUCACCCCAUUGAUCGCCAGGGUUGAUUUGGCUGAUCUGGCUGACUAAGCGGGUGUCCCCUUCCUCCCUCACUGCUCCAUAUGUGUCCCUCCCAAAGCUGCAUGCUCCCUGAAAGAGGAUGCCCCCCAAAAAAAAACAAGCUCUCAAGAAUAGGAAAUCUAUCAAGGGAGGGGAUGGGAUAAGGAUUUCUGGUGGUGCGAAUUGUGUGGAAUUGAACCCCUCUUAUCCUAUGGUCAUGUCAAUAUUUCUAUUUUAUAAAUAAAAAUUAUAUAAAAAUAACAACACAGUGGUAACUAUCCUGGCAGGUGGCUCAAUGGUAAAACAC